rnacentral:lncRNA from 1 species
UUCAAUUCAACCAUAUGAUCUAGCAAAACAGGAAAUCAUCCAUUCUCUUCGUUGUCCAAUGGAAAGCUGCUUAUAAUUGAAAGCACCACUAUAGCAUUUUCUUUGAUCCAGCAAAACAGGAAAUUGUAAAUAUACCUCGUUUGAAGGUUUAAAUUGAAGCUCUGCAUUUCAAAACUAAGAUUUUCCUUACAUCUAAAACGGAAAGAAAAAUGAAGAUGCAUAAGUUAGAAAUUAUUUUUUCGCAUACAGUAAAACUCAAGCAUAAUUGAAUGAGCCCAGCAUUAUCAAACUAUGUUUUCGAAACUAAUUUUUUUCCCUAUUCAUGAAACUGAAAGAAGAUUGGAGAAGCUUAAAGCCCAACUUUUUUUUCUUCGUACACAAUAAACCCCAAACUCUCAGGCGACAAGCUCAGCACUGUCAAAUUAUUUUUAGCACACACUAAAGUUGAUAAAAGAUCAAAAAAUCCUAUUUUGUCUUUAUCAUAUGAUGAAACAAGAAAUUAUUGUGUUAAUAACAAAAUAAUAUCACAAAACUCAAAACGCACAUCGUUGUUUCCUUCUCUUUCUCUUACCUAUGUGAUUGAUGUAUUCGGUGGUCUCUUACCAACAGGGAGGAAGGAAGUAUUGUCUAACAGUCGACGAAGCGAUCGAAAGUGGAGAUUAUUUGCGUAGUAGCCUAAAAAAUAGGGCAACUGGAGCGUAAAUGUAAAUGGGAAAGUGAAAUUGAGUUAGGGAAGAGGGAUUUCUUUGUUUCAGCCUGGGUCACUUACAAGAAAAUUGGCUUUCUCAGCUUUUUUUUUUAACUUUCCACGUCAGCAUUGAAGCGAAAUUAAUCGCAAAAAUAUGACAGAUGCUUUUCCAUCACUUGUUGCAGGGCACUGUUAGUCUAGAACGAAAUGAAUUUUGGUUUCUAGAGAAGAAAACUGAAAAGAUAUAAACAUAGACGGCAAUAUUAAAUAAUUACCUAUACUAUGCUGAUUUUAUGGCUGAUAUUGGAUCUCACAAGAGAUCUAUUGACUCUCUGGGGGACAUGGAGGAGUUUUUGAGACAGAGAUCACAAGCUAAGUGGCUGAAUGAUUGGAUAGACUACAAAAUAUUUCCACUAGCUUCUAGUUGAGGACACAAAAAUUACAUCUCCGACCUUAAAAAUGCAUACAACCAAUUGGUGGAGGAAAUGACAAUAUUUUUCUUUCUUCAGAAGAUUUGUUUGAUACUAUCUACAGUAGCCCGAGGCCCUGGGUAAUAAAGCUAAAGGCAAUAGUAAGUAGGCUGGAGGAUGUAUGUGUAAUUUUGUCUUACAUUUUCAAUUUUGCCUUUCUUUUAUCUGGGAUUUUUCUUGCAUGUUUUCCACUUUGCUUAGAUAUUGUUUGCUCAAGUGUUCACUUAUCAGAGGUAGACAGGUUACCCUUGCUUAAAUUUUCAGUGAAUAUUAAAUAAUUUUAGAAUGUAUAUUCUGUUCUUCAUGCUAUUACUACAAAAGACCAGAAGAAGAGUCUGUUAUCAGUUACUUUGGAAGAAGGGCGUUGACAGAAAAGCUAAUCAAAUGAUGAUGGAUUGAAAAUUGCACUCAACCUUUUGUAACCUUACAUAGACACGAUUAAAUCUUAUCAUGUCAAACAAAGCAUAAGAAUAACCAUAUUAUAUAACCUUGUCAUUCUUUCUCCUUUUUACUCUUUCUUAAGGUGUUAAAUUGCAAAAUGAUGUACCAAAACCAUCUCCACUUUGCAUCAGGUCGUAGAUUAAACAAAAGGACUUCAACUCAAACUUUAGAAUAGGUUUCCACCUUAAUUUAUUUUAUGUUUUCUCACAGGGGCAGAGGAGCCAUAUAAUGAGAGACAACAAGGCUGAGGAAACUUGGCUAUAGGAAAUGGAUUAACAGUGAUCAACUUAUGGCCUUGCUACACAUACACCAGAUCAAACUUUAAUGGGCAUUCAUCUCCCACUCUAAUGCUAAAAAUCGAACAUACUUCUAAAAUUGAAAACAAAAAAAUCACUAGCCAAAUAAAGUGUGCCUUGCCAACAUAAAUGCAGUGAAACUACAACUAAACAUUCUUUUCAAAUCACAACGUAAGUGGUGACCAUUCUCAUAGACAGUAACUAUAAGUACAAAGGGACUCUUGGCACACCUUGAGAAGCAAGUCACACCUUGAAAAGCUAGUUAAACAUCAAUACAAUUUUUGAGAAAAUCUGAUUACAUAUGAAAGUACCAACAUAUCGUACAUAAGCACUUUCGACGACAACAAUUCGAAAGUCUUUUUCCUAUACACCAUCCUAAACCAUCCAAAUACACAACAUAUUUAGAUUUCAUUCUCCAAAACUUGUUUUCCUUUGUGCAUAUUUAUUCUAAGCCAGAUCUUCAAGUCUUUUUCGUCAGUUAGCUUAGCAAGCGUUUUUAACAUUUGUGGCUAAUCAUCCACGUGUUCGCCUCCAUUUCUGAUGCACUUGAUUUACCAUCAUCAUGCAAUGGACACUUUUUGUCAAGGAAUUUGUUACACCACUUGAAGUACCUACAAUCGCGAGUACAACAAUGGAACAAUAGCCAUUUAUGAUCAUUGUUCUUUUCGACCUCCAUCCAUUUGAUGAAUCCCAAACCACAAUUUGGAUAGCUUCUCUUUCUCGAGCAUUCUGGCAACAUAUGUCCCCUUUAUCUACAACAAUGACAUAUUCCCUUAUUUUUGCUUUCCAUCGACUUAGUCUUAUUCAACCACAUUAAACAACCACAUCAACAUGUAAACAUAUCAUUCUCACAAAUUAACAUACAGUACUACUUCAAUUCAACCAUAUGAUCUAGCAAAACAGGAAAUCAUCCAUUCUCUUCGUUGUCCAAUGGAAAGCUGCUUAUAAUUGAAAGCACCACUAUAGCAUUUUCUUUGAUCCAGCAAAACAGGAAAUUGUAAAUAUACCUCGUUUGAAGGUUUAAAUUGAAGCUCUGCAUUUCAAAACUAAGAUUUUCCUUACAUCUAAAACGGAAAGAAAAAUGAAGAUGCAUAAGUUAGAAAUUAUUUUUUCGCAUACAGUAAAACUCAAGCAUAAUUGAAUGAGCCCAGCAUUAUCAAAC